rnacentral:rRNA from 1 species
AUUGAACGCUGGCGGCAGGCCUAACACAUGCAAGUCGAGCGAGCGGCGGACGGGUGAGUAAUGUCUGGGAAACUGCCUGAUGGAGGGGGAUAACUACUGGAAACGGUAGAUAAUACCGCACACCCUCAGAUGUGCCCAGAGGGGAUUAGCUAGUAGGUGGGGUAACGGCUCACCUAGGCGACGAUCCCUAGCUGGUCUGAGAGGAUGACCAGCCACACUGGGACUGAGACACGGUCCAGACUCCUACGGGAGGCAGCAGUGGGGAAUAUUGCACAAUGGGGGCAACCCUGAUGCAGCCAUGCCGCGUGUGUGAAGAAGGCCUUCGGGUUGUAAAGCACUUUCGGCGGGGAGGCGUUACCCGCAGAAGAAGCACCGGCUAACUCCGUGCCAGCAGCCGCGGUAAUUC